ACUCAAAUGAAUUGACGGGGACCCGCACAAGCGGUGGAGCAUGUGGUUCAAUUCGAAACAAAGCGAAAAACCUUACCAGGAUUUGACAUCCUAGCUGCACGGUCUGAGAAAUCAGAUUUUCUUCGAGAGUGCUAGGACAGGUGCUGCAUGGCUGUCGUCAGCUUGUACCGUGAGGCGCACCCUUAAGUGGGUCAACAAGCGCAACCCCCAUCCUGUGUUAAAUAUUCACAGGAAACUGCCCGCUAAAAGCGUGGAGGAAGGCGGGGAUGACGUCAAGUCAGCACGGCCCUUAUGUCCUGGGCUACACACAUCCUACAAUGGGUGUUUUACAAAGAGUUGCAAUGCGGUAACGCAAAGCUAAUCUCCCAAAAGCACCCCCAGUUCGGAUUGAGGGCUGCAAUUUGCCCUCAUGAAGCUGAAAUCGCUAGUAAUCGCAGAUCAGCAGGCUGCGGUGAAUACGUUCUCGGGUCUUGUACACACCGCCCGU
rnacentral:rRNA from 1 species